GAUGUAGAACGCAGCGAAAUGCGAUAAUUAAUGUGAAUUGCAGAAUUCCGUGAAUCAUCGAGUCUUUGAACGCACAUUGCGCCUCAUGGCAUUCCGUGAGGCAUGCCCAUCUCAGCGUUAGAAAAUAUUCUCAAAUUUUAGUUUUGUGCUAAAAUUUGGAUCAUGUCAAGGAAGCUAUUACUAUUAUUGUGAUCGCUCUUUGGAAAUUGAUAGGUCUUUGAGUUGCUACUCAUAGAACGUGAUGAAUCUUUCUUCGUUCUAUUGUAAUUCACUCUGGUAGUCCUAAAACUUGUAUGCCUGUGGCAUAUCUUGUAAUUUGACCUGAGAUUGGGUAGGGAUACCCGCUGAACUUAAGCAUAUCAAUAAGCGGAGGA
rnacentral:misc_RNA from 1 species